UUGCUACUUCAUCACUGUCAUUUUGCUACUGUUAUGAAUCGUCAUGUAAAUAUCUGAUCUGCUAUAUGUGUUUUCCGAUGGUCGCGACCCACAGGUUGAGAACCGCUGCCUUAGAGGGAUGAGGAACCGGAGGCCUAGGAGGUCUGUCUUGGUAUCACUAGUGCUGGGCGCACAGUCUUGAGAUUAAACACCCAAGAAGAACAGUGAAGAGAGCCUGGUGAUUGAUGUCAGUAGGUGCAGCGUGACGGAGCGACCCAAAAGCCAGCGCAGAAGGGGCUGUGAGGGAACCAGGGUCCCCCCUCCUGGGAUGUCCUAGAGACACUUGUCUCGGAUGGCGUGACUGCGUGGAGCUGGUACUGAGUAAGAAAGGGGGAACUGCUCCUCUCUGAAGAACUUCUAGACAGACUGUGAUCCGCGAAGGCAGGAGAGAAGACCCGAAGGCCGCCUCAGGGCUCCAUGGAGCUCCAGUUGGGCAUUCACCCCGAGGGGAGGGGAGCGAGGGGAAGGCUGGGCCUUGCUGUCAUUCCGCUGUGUGACUCACGGAGGGGAGGCAGUGUCCAGCCCUCACUUGUGCUGGGGCCUCUAGUUACUCACCCUCUGAGGCCUGCUGAGUGGACCUUCAGAAAUAACCUGAAGGAAUAGGGAGGCUCCCCAGUGAAUCAUGUUGACCUUCUUGUAUCCCCACCUGUGAUCUGUUCAAUCACCCCCUUUGAGGUCCUGGCAGAUGUUUGUGUCAGCAUCACAUACGCGUUGCACACACAGCAGGAAGCUCAUUAAACAUUUCACAUCUUC